rnacentral:rRNA from 1 species
AUUGAACGCUGGCGGCAGGCUUAACACAUGCAAGUCGAGCGGAAACGAUGGUAGCUUGCUACCAGGCGUCGAGCGGCGGACGGGUGAGUAAUACUUAGGAAUCUACCUAGUAGUGGGGGAUAGCUCGGGGAAACUCGAAUUAAUACCGCAUACGACCUACGGGAGAAAGGGGGCAGUUUACUGCUCUCGCUAUUAGAUGAGCCUAAGUCGGAUUAGCUAGAUGGUGGGGUAAAGGCCUACCAUGGCGACGAUCUGUAGCUGGUCUGAGAGGAUGAUCAGCCACACCGGGACUGAGACACGGCCCGGACUCCUACGGGAGGCAGCAGUGGGGAAUAUUGGACAAUGGGGGAAACCCUGAUCCAGCCAUGCCGCGUGUGUGAAGAAGGCCUUUUGGUUGUAAAGCACUUUAAGCAGUGAAGAAGACUCCGUGGUUAAUACCCACGGACGAUGACAUUAGCUGCAGAAUAAGCACCGGCUAACUCUGUGCCAGCAGCCGCGGUAAUACAGAGGGUGCAAGCGUUAAUCGGAAUUACUGGGCGUAAAGGGAGCGUAGGUGGCUCGAUAAGUCAGAUGUGAAAUCCCCGGGCUCAACCUGGGAACUGCAUCUGAUACUGUUGAGCUAGAGUAUGUGAGAGGAAGGUAGAAUUCCAGGUGUAGCGGUGAAAUGCGUAGAGAUCUGGAGGAAUACCGAUGGCGAAGGCAGCCUUCUGGCAUAAUACUGACACUGAGGCUCGAAAGCGUGGGUAGCAAACAGGAUUAGAUACCCUGGUAGUCCACGCCGUAAACGAUGUCUACUAGUCGUUGGGUCCCUUGAGGACUUAGUGACGCAGCUAACGCAAUAAGUAGACCGCCUGGGGAGUACGGCCGCAAGGUUAAAACUCAAAUGAAUUGACGGGGGCCCGCACAAGCGGUGGAGCAUGUGGUUUAAUUCGAUGCAACGCGAAGAACCUUACCUGGUCUUGACAUAUCUAGAAUCCUGCAGAGAUGCGGGAGUGCCUUCGGGAAUUAGAAUACAGGUGCUGCAUGGCUGUCGUCAGCUCGUGUCGUGAGAUGUUGGGUUAAGUCCCGCAACGAGCGCAACCCUUGUCCUUAGUUACCAGCGGGUUAAGCCGGGAACUCUAAGGAUACUGCCAGUGACAAACUGGAGGAAGGCGGGGACGACGUCAAGUCAUCAUGGCCCUUACGACCAGGGCUACACACGUGCUACAAUGGUAGGUACAGAGGGCAGCUACACAGCGAUGUGAUGCGAAUCUCAGAAAGCCUAUCGUAGUCCAGAUUGGAGUCUGCAACUCGACUCCAUGAAGUAGGAAUCGCUAGUAAUCGCGGAUCAGAAUGCCGCGGUGUAUACGUUCCCGGGCCU